rnacentral:lncRNA from 1 species
GGGCCUGAGAGUGCAGUGUGCAGCAGAUAGGUUCUAGCCAGGUAUCUUCUCUGGUAGGCAGCAUGCAGACAGGUGGAAACAUGCUCCAGUGAUUUUUGGGAACUCUGUCACAUCCUUCACAUAUGGUCCUUGGAAAACAAACAGUCUAUAUAUGAGACUCUAGCUUUCCUCUGAGAUUGCCAAUAACAAAUGUCUCCUGCAGUGGCAAGAAAAUGAACUGGAGUGCUUGGGAACUACACUUGCAGAAAUGAAGCUGCAAGAUUACUGCAACAUUAUAUAUUUUAAGUGUAAUCAGAGUUGCACUGGUUCACCUUAAUAUAAGGUAAGGAAACAUGCUUAUUUCCAGCUUAAAGAGAUGCAAUCUGAG